GUGAACCUGCGGAAGGAUCAUUACCUAGAGUUGCGGGCUUUGCCUGCCAUCUCUUACCCAUGUCUUUUGAGUACCUUACGUUUCCUCGGCGGGUCCGCCCGCCGACUGGACAAUUUAAACCACUUGCAGUUGCAAUCAGCGUCUGAAAAAACUUAAUAGUUACAACUUUCAACAACGGAUCUCUUGGUUCUGGCAUCGAUGAAGAACGCAGCGAAAUGCGAUAAGUAGUGUGAAUUGCAGAAUUCAGUGAAUCAUCGAAUCUUUGAACGCACAUUGCGCCCCUUGGUAUUCCAUGGGGCAUGCCUGUUCGAGCGUCAUUUGUACCUUCAAGCCUUGCUUGGUGUUGGGUGUUUGUCUCGCCUCUGCGCGUAGACUCGCCUCAAAACAAUUGGCAGCCGGCGUAUUGAUUUCGGAGCGCAGUACAUCUCGCGCUUUGCACUCAGAACGACGACGUCCAAAAGUACAUUUUUACACUCUUGACCUCGGAUCAGGUAGGGAUACCCGCUGAACUUAAGCAUAUCAAUAA
rnacentral:rRNA from 1 species